CUGAAGAGAAAGGGAAGGAGAGCAGGAGAGAUUAGGAAGCAGAGGAGAAGAGGAAGGGAAGAAGAGGGAGAGAGAGAAGGAAGGAAGUAUAACCUGUGGGCACAUUUUGAAAGAUCUCUGUAUCAUUUGCCGUCUCUGGGCUGGAUAAUCUGAAUAAAUCGUUUCAUCUCUGGGAACCUUGGUUGCAUCUUUUACCUGGCUGUGGUAAAUUGCGGACUCUACAUUUCUCUUAUACACUAUACGGAUAAUAUUGCGGAAUACACAACAUUUUGGUGCCGUGACUAGUGACCAGAAGAAGCGUGAAGGAUUAGUGACCCAAAAGCCUGCAAGCCCUGUUGAGCCCUGAAAGGAAGGAAGGUUGGAACCCUAGGACUGUGGUCUGGACACUGGUGACUGUGAACCUCAAGGGUUGUUAUAUCUUUCAGGAAAAGGUCUUCCAGCAGAAGGAUCAAUGUACCUGAAUCUUUGGUCACUACUUUUAUUUAUCAUUUUUCAUACCACAAUUAAGUAGGACUGGAGAUAAUCGAAUCAUGCUGAACUGUUUUUAAAAUUUUAUUCAUGGCUUCCUAACAGUAAUUUUAUGGAUGUGAGUGGCAAAAGCACAGGUCUAUCCUGCAACAAAAAAAAAAAUGCUCAAGGAACCAAAGCUUUCAAGUGGGGGAGUGAAUACAUUAACAUAAUAAUUAAGGAAAGGUGUUGGAGCUGGACACCACAGAGCAAACUUUUGAAUGGAUACAAUAGUGCAGUAGACUGGAUACUGUUGUGAUUUCAAUAUAUGUUCUACAGAAUUCCUCUGAGCUAAAGUUUUUCCCCAAAUAAAACAGGUUACGAUUGUGAUUAAGGACUAAAGAUGUGUGACAAGAGUCCUCUGUGAAAAGAAAGGAAGUAAAUUAAAAGAACUCAUUAACAUACAAAAAGGACAUUGUUUGCAAAGUUUCUAAAAACACUUAAGACUUUUGCUUAUGCAACAUUUACAUUACUGUUAUUCCAUGUUUUUCUUUCUGUAUACUGUACAUGUUUUGUUUUUAAUGUAAAAAAAAAAUAUCCCAGAGAAUUGCCCAGAGAUAGUACAAAUAUAUUGAUUAAUUAUGUGUAUCUGCCUAGGGUUGCUAAACAAGGGCUCACAUUUAGCAUAUGGUCAAUAGAGGGUAUUGGGAGCUAAAUGUAUAGACAUGGGUGGAUUUAGAAAAAAAUAAAAGAAUAUAUAUUCAGAAUAUUGAUGUAAUUGCUGCAUAUUUGCAGAUGUAAAGUACAACCAUUAAUAUUCUGACUGAAUCAGGUCAGGGUGAUAUUGUGUCCAAAGCUAGAGUUGGUGGCAAGGUGGGAUGUGAAAGGAACAGGAAUACAGACUGAAGGAUGACAAAGAGAGACAAUGCCAUCUAACACCAGCAAAAGUACAAGAUCCUAUGUACUCAACUCAACUGUUACUGAGAGCAAAAUGGAAUAAAGAGAGCCAAGCCUUUGGAGGAAAACCAAAUGCAGCAAGGACAUUAUUUUGUCUAUGAGUAGGGAAGUGGGGGAGUGAUGGAAGUGGCAAACAAUCCUGCCUGGAUCAUAAAGUCCCCAACUCUGGAAAGAAUGGAAUUUGUGGACAUGAACAGUUCCACAGUCUGCAUAAGGAUUUGCACUAAUUCUCUGCAAAUACUGAGUAUGGCUCAUACAGUAAGAUGGUGCAUAUUUCUCAAUGGUGACUGAACAUAUCAACUGAGGAGAGAAUCGACUCAUUCGUCUAAUUCAUAACAUACACCAAAACUGCCACUUGCAAUAGUGUUGGAUACCUUAUUCAUCCUAAAUGAGGGAACAUAAAGAGCUGGAGAAGUGAUAUGUAACCAGUUCUAGCAGAAUUUUUUUAUAAAUAUUUAAGAGCCUUGGUUUAGCAUUCCUUACAACAUAAUGGCAUCAUAUUAUUUAUUAAUUUUUUU